AGAUUAGCUAAGCUAGUAAAGGCCUCUAACCUUUACAAGGGGGUGUAAUUCCUCCACAAUCUC
rnacentral:tRNA from 1 species